rnacentral:misc_RNA from 1 species
GAUGAAGAACGUAGCGAAAUGCGAUACGUAGUGGGAAUUGCAGAAUUCAGUGAAUCAUCGAAUCUUUGAACGCACAUUGCGCCCCUUGGUAUUCCGAGGGGCAUGCCUGUUCGAGCGUCAUUAUAACCCCUCAAGCUCGGCUUGGUGUUGGGGCCUGCCGCACGGGCAGCCCUUAAAAUCAGUGGCGGUGCCAUCUGGCUCUAAGCGUAGUAAUUCUUCUCGCUAUAGAGUCCCGGUGGAUGCUUGCCAUUAACCCCCAAUUUCAAUGGUUGACCUCGGAUCAGGUAGGGAUACCCGCUGAACUUAAGCAUAUCAAUAAGCGGAGGA